rnacentral:lncRNA from 1 species
AGGCCUUCCCAGCGUUCGAUUUGUACGAUUUGGCUUGUAGAGGAUUUCUCUGUAAAAUGGGAACUGUGUUGUGAAGUUGAAACGCCCAGAUCGGUGGUGGACAUUGAGAACCUGCGUUUCAAAGUGAGCACGCUGUUAUGUUUCAGGUAUACUUCAUUGCAGACAUGGAAUCAUCUUAAAUCUGUGACAUGAUAAAUUUGGCAUUUCAAAGCAUGUAGAUAUGAAGCUUUUCUUGCAUCUGGAAUACAGAUCAUUUAUUCACAAGGUGGUGGAUGUAACAUGAACAAUCACUGGUUCCAAACACUUACAUCCAGAAAGCUUUUGAAGAACUGCCUGUUUAAUGGACUAUGAACAUCUUGGUUAGGUUUUGCUUCCUGUGCAACAAGUACUUGAACUGCUAAUGGACCGGUUUCUUCCUUGGUGUACCC